AGCUGAGACCUACGAGAUAAGCCAGAGUGAUUCAGGCAAAGGGAACAAGAAGAGAGGGUUCUGGGUAGAGGGAACCCCACCAGCAAAGAACCAAGAUGCAAAGAGCUUGCAUAUGUUGCUUCCUACUAUGUGUCAGGCCCCAUGUGAGGUACUGGAGUGCAGAGCUGAAUAAGGCAGAGUCCAGCCCUCAGAGAGCCUACAGUCUGAAUGAAGGAGACGACCAAGGUCAUGAGCCCCCCUCAGCUGUGGUUCUUGGCACCUCUUCCACGAAGCUCCCAUUGCUGAUCUCACUGCCUAGUUACUCCAUGUCCCAGAGCGCCCAGAAUCCCGAUGUCCAACCAUACAAGUAUUCUUCAUCUGGUAUAUUUUCAAACACCUGUUGAGAGACCUCCAGAAUUAAGACUUGCGUUUUCAGACCACCCUUGGAAGAGUGAUGCCCUCCAGGCUCUGUGAGAAACUCUACACAUGGACACACUUUAUGGAAUCCUUUGGAAACUUUCUGCCAGUGUUCUUUCAAAUAUCUGAGGGGAUGCACAGAGGAGUGUCUUUGUAGAGGGGCCUGGUCUAUGGUGAUGCAGGCAGAUUUGGGGGGAUAGAUCCCAGUUCUCUCUAAGUGGCAUCAUGAUCCUUGCUGCGUGACCUGAAUGUGGACUUGACGUAGUCUGAAGGUAGUCUAAGGUUCUUAAACUUCUUUGUGCCAUGGAUCUCAUUAAUAGUCUAGUGAGGCCUAUGGAUCUCUUCUCAGAAUGUCUUAAUGUUUAAUGUCUUAGAUGCAGAAAAUAAAUCCACAAGAUUAUAAAGGAAAUCAAUUAUGCUCCAUACAAUUAUUAAAUGUGUGGUACAGGAAUGUCCCUUUAUUAACACAUUAAAAUAAUAUCUGGUGGUGAGCAAAAUAUGUACUAUAAUUCAAAGUAUUGAUGAGUGUAAAACUAUAUUUCAAGUUUUCUACAACUGUACUGUGAUUUGAAAAUACCCGUGAUUUCUGUUAUGAUCACCAUAGAUAUGUCUAAUCCUAUUGUCAUUUGUCGCUUAUGUUCAGGAACUGUUUAAUUUCAGCAAUUUUUUCCAUCGCCUGAGGUCCAGACAAAAUGUCUCCUAACUCAUUCAUUGAUUCAAUAAGUAUUUAUUAAGUACUUCUAUGUACCAGGCAUCAUUCCAGGAAAGGCAAAGUUUCUGCCCUUACUGAGUUUUCACUCUGGCUAUGAGUCAGAUAACAAAUAAAUUAAUUUGGGGUGCUCAGGUGUUGCAGUCCGUUGAGCUUCUGACUCUUGGUUUUGGUUCAAGUCAUGGUCUCAGGGUUUUAGAAUGGAGCCUCGUGCUUAGCACUGAAUCUGCUUGUCCCUUUCCCCACUCUCAGCUCUCUUGCACACUCUCCCUAAAAUAAAUAAAUCUUAAAAAAAAAAUCAAUAUCGUUGAUUCUCCGUAUUUGCAGCAGUUACAUUGUACAAAGUCACUGUGAACCAGGCUCCUACAGGAAAUACAGGGUUACGCUCUUUGAGUCUCUGGUCACAUUUUCAUCAACUGAUCAAAAUAUAACCUUCUUUUAUGUGUGUUUCUGUUUAAAGACACCUCAUGUAAUGUAUAUUGUUAAUUUGCUAACAUUGCCCUCAUGGCCAACAGCCCUGUAAACUAUAACUACAUGUAACAGUCCCUCAGAAUAAUACACUGCUUAAACUAUAACUUUAACUAAUGAGGAGUUGUACUGGUCACGCAAGCAUGCUUAAAGAUGACCUUGAGGAAAAACAUGUACUAGCAGCAUGCCUGUGGUGGAGGGGCUGAGACGUCGAAGCCAAACGGCUGAGAAC